rnacentral:rRNA from 1 species
AUUGAACGCUGGCGGCAGGCCUACCACAUGCAAGUCGAGCGAGAGGCGGACGGGUGAGUAAUGUCUGGGAAACUGCCUGAUGGAGGGGGAUAACUACUGGAAACGGUAGCUAAUACCGCAUACCAUCAGAUGUGCCCAGAGGGGAUUAGCUGGUCGGUGGGGUAACGGCUCACCUAGGCGACGAGCCCUAGCUGGGCUAAGAGGAUGACCAGCCACACUGGAACUGAGCCACGUUCCAGACUCCUACGGGAGUCAGCAGUGGGGAAUAUUGCACAAUGGGCGCAAGCCUGAUGCAGCCAUGCCGCGUGUGUGAAGAAGGCCUUCGGGUUGUAAAGCACUUUCAGCGGGGAGGCGUUACCCGCAGAAGAAGCACCGGCUAACUCCGUGCCAGCAGCCGCGGUAAUUC